UGGGGAAUCUUGCGCAAUGGCCGAAAGGCUGACGCAGCGACGCCGCGUGUGGGAUGAAGCCCUUCGGGGUGUAAACCACUGUUGCCCGGGGCGAACAAGCGGUUUAGACCGCUCUGACGGUACCGGGUGAGGAAGCACCGGCUAACUCCGUGCCAGCAGCCGCGGUAAUACGGAGGGUGCGAGCGUUGUCCGGAAUCACUGGGCGUAAAGGGCGCGUAGGCGGUUCGCUAAGCGUGCGGUGAAAGCCCGGGGCUCAACCCCGGGUCGGCCGUGCGAACUGGCGGACUUGAGCACUGUAGAGGCGGGUAGAAUUCCGGGUGUAGCGGUGGAAUGCGUAGAGAUCCGGAAGAAUACCGGUGGCGAAGGCGGCCCGCUGGGCAGUGGCUGACGCUGAGGCGCGACAGCGUGGGGAGCAAACAG
rnacentral:rRNA from 1 species